rnacentral:rRNA from 1 species
AGAGGGUGCGAACGUUGCUCGGAUUUACUGGGCGUAAAGCGCGUGUAGGCGGACUCGCAAGUCGGUUGUGAAAUCCCUGGGCUUAACCUAGGAACUGCAUCCGAAACUGCUUGUCUUGAGUAAUGGAGAGGGUGGCGGAAUUCCCGGUGUAGAGGUGAAAUUCGUAGAUAUCGGGAGGAACAUCAGUGGCGAAGGCGGCCACCUGGACAUUUACUGACGCUGAGACGCGAAAGCGUGGGGAGCAAACAGGGAUUAGAUACCCUGGUAGUCCACGCCGUAAACGAUGAGAACUAGGUGCAGCGGAUAUUGACCUCUGCUGUGCCGUAGCUAACGCGUUAAGUUCUCCGCCUGGGAGUACGGCCGCAAGGCUA